UUCUGUAUCAGCAGGUCUUCGUUGCAUUGGAAGAGGAGGCUGUAGUGUGAGAUGAAAACCCGGAGGCGCUGCACGCACACCAGCAGCAGCUCUGUGUGGAAAACCCAUGCUGUUCACAAAGGGUGCACAGCACUGAAGCUGCUUCCUGGAGCCGAGUCAGCAAAACUGCAGAGUCUCCCCCCUUCUCUCUUGGUGGGUACCAGCAAUUUGAGACAUUUGUAAAAGAUAACAAUGGUCCUUGCAGCCUAAAGCUUUGUUAAAGCUUUGAAGCAGCCCAGGGAAGAUGGCUGUGGACAGCAGAUGGAGAUGGUUUAUGGAAGGAAGGAGUGGGAUGGAAAGAGGGCAGCAGAGCCUUGGUGAACUGGGUCACUGUCCUGGCUGCCACUGAAAGAAUGAGAGGGAGCCCUUGCUUCUCUGAGUAGCUGUGUCCCCACAGGUUUCCCCCAGCACUGGCCAGGGCUCUGUCUCCACAGGGACUUCCAUUUGCAUCUGCACCCUUGGCAGCUGCCUAAAUCUUUACACCAGAACAGGACCUGCUGUCUGGGACCUUGAGCUGAAGCCUGUCAAAACCAGUAGAAAAUAGGCUCUGAUAAAGAAA